rnacentral:lncRNA from 1 species
GUUCUGCACUCUGCCCUGUAUGGCUUUAGGAUGUAGUUGCUUGCUGUUGCUGAUGCAGCCUGGACCCUUACUGAAAGGGAAAUAACCAAGUGGUGUCCUUGUCUUAGGGUGGAUCAAGUUUCUCAGGCAGCAGCAGCUCCUAUGGCCAGGGUUACCAAGGCGGCCAGUCCUAUGGCCAGGGUUCUCAGCCUCAAGGUGGCAGCUCCUAUGGACAGCAGGGUGGAUCUGCAGCUUAUUUUGGCAGCAGUGGUUGUGGACAAGGUGUCUCCUAUGACAGCAAUCCCUGCCACCAGGGUGGAUCACAGGGUGGUCAGGUAG